AUACGUAUGGUGCAAGCGUUAUCCGGAUUUACUGGGUGUAAAGGGUGCGUAGGUGGUAGUGCAAGUCAGAAGUGAAAACUAUGGGCUCAACCCAUAGACUGCUUCUGAUACUGUUCAACUAGAGUGCAGGAGAGGAAAGUGGAAUUCCUAGUGUAGCGGUGAAAUGCGUAGAUAUUAGGAGGAACACCAGUGGCGAAGGCGGCUUUCUGGACUGCAACUGACACUGAGGAACGAAAGCGUGGGGAGCAAACAGGAUUAGAUACCCGGGUAGUCCACGCCGUAAACGAUGAAUACUAGGUGUUGGGAGACAAUAGUUUCUCGGUGCCGCAGCAAACGCAAUAAGUAUUCCACCUGGGGAGUACGUUCGCAAGAAUGAAACUUAAAGGAAUUGACGGGG
rnacentral:rRNA from 1 species